AUUGAACGCUGGCGGCAGGCUUAACACAUGCAAGUCGAGCGGUAGCACAGGGGAGCUUGCUCCCUGGGUGACGAGCGGCGGACGGGUGAGGAAUGUCUGGGAAACUGCCUGAUGGAGGGGGAUAACUACUGGAAACGGUAGCUAAUACCGCAUAACGUCGCAAGAACAAAGAGGGGGACCUUGGGGCCUCUUGCCAUCAGAUGUGCCCAGGUGGGAUUAGCUAGGAGGGGGGGUAAUGGCUCACAUAGGCGAAGAGCCCUAGCUGGUCUGAGAGGAUGACCAGCCACACUGGAACUGCGACACGGUCCAGACUCCUACGGGAGGCAGCAGUGUGGAAUAUUGCACAAUGGGGGCAAGCCUGAUGCAGCCAUGCCGCGUGUGUGAAGAAGGCCUUCGGGUUGUAAAGCACUUUCAGCGAGGAGGAAGGUGGUGAGCUUAAUACGUUCAUCAAUUGACGUUACUCGCAGAAGAAGCACCGGCUAACUCCGUG
rnacentral:rRNA from 1 species